GUUGUUUGAGCAAGACCUUGUGUAUCAAACAUUGAUCUAGCCAAGUGGCUUAGUGGAGAAUUUGCUCAAAUUGGUUUUUUAGUAUCUUGUUGGCAGGAGGGGAAAUGACUGCUUGAACGUUUCAGCCUUAAUGCUGACAUGUGGUGACUUGAAGCCAGGUGAAUGAAGGUUCCUCCAGCUAGAGAGUUCAAAGUUAGAGAAACCUGAGAGGGGUGUACUGGUAUGACCACCCGAGAUCCCAUCGCUGAGAAAGAUAAUGGCCCUGGAGACAAAGACUGAUGAAGAAAGACAGUAUCCAGCUGUGAUGCAGAUGAAACAUGCGGCAUGGUUGCACUCACUAUGCAGCCAAGGCUGGAAGCCACUCUGGAUCCAGCCACUCUGGCACAGCGUUCUUGCUCUAGGAAGAACAACUGAACAUGGCCACACAGGCCUCACAGCUGGCAUAUGGAGGCUGUUAAUAAGCUGAGCUUGAGGCUUCAAAGGACUCUUGUAGCCUGUGCUGGAUCUAGCAGUGACCAGUAUGCCAG
rnacentral:lncRNA from 1 species